CUUCCUGUUCACUCCGACUUUGCCGGGUGGGGUGGGGAAGAGGAGCCAAGCCAGUGUCGAGUGCACUCACGAUGUAGAAUGAACUCAUUUUGCCACCGCUGUCACAACUACGGCUCAACGCUAUGCAUUUUGACAAGGCCUUAUAGUAUGCGUUGCUGAGUUUUCCGGGUUGUAUGGCCGUGUUCCAGAAGCACUCUCUCCUGACAUUUCGCCUGCAUCUAUGGCAGGCAUCCUCAGAGAUUUGGAGGGCUGUCUAGGUGCAAAUGCUGCAAACCAUUGCGCAUCUUCAGAUAUUUUUGAUGGUCCCGAUUGAACAGAGACUUUGAGAAAAUGGUUUGGAUUGUGUGCCAUCUCAAACCAGUACAGUAGAGUCUCACUUAUCCAACAUUCACUUAUCCAAUGCUCUGGAUUAUCCAACGCAGUCUGCCUUUUAGUAGUCAUUGUUUUUGUAGUCAAUGUUUUCAAUACAUUGUGAUGUUUUGGUGCUAAAUUCGUAAAUAUAGUUAUUACUACAUAGCAUUACUGCGUAUUGGACUACUUUUUCUGUCAAAUUUGUAAUAAAACAUGAUGUUUUGGUGCCUAAUUUGUAAAAUCAUAAUUUAAUUUGAUGUUUAAUAGGCUUUUCCUUAAUUCCUUCUUAUUAUCCAACAUAUUCGCUUAUCCAUGAAUCUUCGGUGGCAGGAAGAGCCACCUAAAAUGAUGGUGAUGCUUCCCCAGUCCAGUCCCAUGUCAUUCCUCCAGUUGGUCAACUGGUUGGUAGAGAAGCAACAGCUGGUGCUUGGACAGGGAUCACAAGGAUGGGGAGAUGUGACAGCAGAUACAGGCCCAUUAUGGAAACAGCAAUCACAGUGUGAGUUACCAUGCUUAGAAGGAAGAGGAGGAGAAAGCGGUUUCUUGUUUUCAGCUGUGAAAUAUUCGUGAGUGUGGAACAAGCUUUCUGAAACUGCCUUGCAAUGAAACCUUUGCUAGCUAUAUAAAAUUAAUAAACAGUAAUCCAGGCAGCUGAUUUUCUGACUGUAGCAAUGCAAUUGGCACUCAAGCCAUUAUCUGAAGAUUCCUCUAAUCACACAGCUGCAAAAUGUGCCAGAGUGAUAUACAUAGGUGGGAUGCAAUCAUAUACUGAUCCCUCCAACACUGAUUAUUAUUGACUAUGACAGAGAUGAGCAAAUGUGGCUUUCCAGAUGUUGUUGGACUGUGAUUCCCUUCAACCUUACCCACUAGGACCAAAAGAGAGCUGCAGUCAAGCAAGAUCUGCAAUGCUCCUGGACCACACCAUUGAAGAGGCUGGGUUUAAGAAUUCUGUAAAUAUGCUUUCACAUGAAAAUAAAUUCUAUAUUAAAACACUUUUUUUGUUAAAGAGGAAAGAAGAUGAUCAAUUUUUGCUUCUUUUAGCUUGCUCACCAUAUGCUAAAUUUCGUUGUCAAAUUGCCAGAAAAUAAUAGGUUAUGUCCACUCUGUGUCAACUGGUAGAAAUAAAUGGAAGUUAAAUUAACAA